UACGUAGGGUGCGAGCGUUGUCCGGAAUUAUUGGGCGUAAAGAGCUUGUAGGCGGUUUGUCGCGUCUGCCGUGAAAGUCCGGGGCUCAACUCCGGAUCUGCGGUGGGUACGGGCAGACUAGAGUGAUGUAGGGGAGACUGGAAUUCCUGGUGUAGCGGUGAAAUGCGCAGAUAUCAGGAGGAACACCGAUGGCGAAGGCAGGUCUCCUGGGCCGGAAAUUGACGCUGAGGAGCGAAAGCGUGGGGAGCAAACAGG
rnacentral:rRNA from 1 species